GAUGAAGAACGUAGCGAAAUGCGAUAAGUAAUGCGAAUUGCAGAAUUCAGUGAAUCAUCGAAUCUUUGAACGCACAUUGCGCCCGCUAGUAUUCUGGCGGGCAUGCCUGUCUGAGCGUCAUUUCAACCCUCGCCCCCGGCUUUUGCUGGGAGCGGUGUUGGGGAUCGGCCGCCCGUCACUGGGAGGCCGGCCCCGAAAUAGAGUGGCGACCACGCCGUGUGCUCCUCUGCGUAGUAGUAAAUCACCUCGCAGGCGGACAGCGGUGCGGCCUGCCGUAAAACCCCCAACUCUUUCUGGUUGACCUCAGAUCAGGUAGGAAUACCCGCUGAACUUAAGCAUAUCAUAAGGGAGGA
rnacentral:misc_RNA from 1 species